AGCAUAAUCAUUAGUCUUUUAAUUGAAGGCUGGUAUGAAUGGUUGGAUGAGAUAUUAACUGUUUCAUUUAAAUUUUUAAAGAAUUUUAUUUUUUAGUUAAAAAGCUAAAAUUUUAUUAAAAGACGAGAAGACCCUAUAAAUCUUUAUAUUUUUUAUAUUUUAAUUUUAUAGAUUUAUUUAAUUAUUAUAAUAAAUAAAUAUUUUAUUGGGGUGAUAUUAAAAUUUAAAAAACUUUUAAUUUAUGAUUUACAUAAAUUUAUGAAUAAAUGAUCCAUUAUUAGUGAUUAAAAAUUUAAGUUACUUUAGGGAUAACAGCGUAAUUUUUUUGGAGAGUUCAUAUCGAUAAAAAAGAUUGCGACCUCGAUGUUG
rnacentral:rRNA from 1 species